UUGAUUUGUCCAAAGCACUUGAACUAAUGCUGCUCGUAAUCUCACACAUCACGUUGUGUCAAAUGAAAUCUACGAUACCAUUUAUUUUUACGUCAGAGCCGCCGGAAAACGUGUGGCGAAACAGCAUUUUGCCUGAGUACUUUUCAAAGUCUGGUAAAAGCGUUUUCCAGACAUAUUCUUAGUUCAAGUCAUAGAAAUCAUAGAAAAAUGUUUAGCAUCAGAAAAGAAAGCAGGUGUUAUUUGUUGGACAAGUUGACAUAGUACCUUCCCCAAUUUCAGCCCAUUUGUUUUAUAUAGUGAAUACAACCCUGUCCACGGGAUUUCACACAUUAAUCCCCAUGCUCGAUGUAACAGGUGGAUUCACUUGUCAGUCACAGGGGUCUCUUAGCUACAGUGCCUUAUCAACCACAGCUGUCAACAACUACAUUUGCACCAGCUCCUCUCCUGCCUGCCUGGGUGCCUGCCUCAUGAUAGAGCGAAAACAAAUUUUCAUGGAAAACAAGAUCAUUCCUAAGAGAGAAGUGGUGUAAUAUCUCCAGAUGGGUGUGUGGUACCUUGCCAACAAGAUGUUACUUCUUGUGGGGUCUUUGCCUUGAAAAACAGGGGUGAAAACAGACUGCUGCAACAUCAUUGGCUGAAUGUG